rnacentral:rRNA from 1 species
GACGAACGCUGGCGGCGUGCCUAACACAUGCCAGUCGAGCGAAAAGACGAGGAUCUUGCCCCUCUGACGUUAGCGGCGGACGGGAGAGUAACAUGAGGAUAACCUACCUAUAAGACUGGUAUAACUACGGGAAACCGGAGCUAAUACCGGAUAAUAUCUUGAACCGGGUGGUUCAAUAGUUAAAGACGGUUUUGCUGUCACUACUAGAUGGAUCCGCGCUGGAUUGGCUGGUGGUUAAGGUAACGGCUUCUGAGGGCAAGGAUGGGUAGGCGACCUGAGCGGGGGGUCGGCGGCACUGGAGCUGACACGCGGUCCAGACUCCGACGGGAGGCAGCAGUAGGGAAUCGUCCGCAAUGGGCGGAAGCCUGACAGAGCAGCGCGACGUGAAUGAUGAAGGUCUUCGGAUCGUAAAACUCUGUUAUGGGGGAAGAACAAAUGUGGAAGUAACUAUGCACGUCGUGACGGUACCUAAUCAGGAAGCAACGGCUAACUACGUG